UUAAGCGACUAAGCGUACACGGUGGAUGCCCUGGCAGUCAGAGGCGAUGAAGGACGUGCUAAUCUGCGAUAAGCGUCGGUGAGGUGAUAUGAACCGUUAUAACCGGCGAUUUCCGAAUGGGGAAACCCAGUGUGUUUCGACACACUAUCAUUAACUGAAUCCAUAGGUUAAUGAGGCGAACCGGGGGAACUGAAACAUCUAAGUACCCCGAGGAAAAGAAAUCAACCGAGAUUCCCCCAGUAGCGGCGAGCGAACGGGGAGGAGCCCAGAGCCUGAAUCAGUGUGUGUGUUAGUGGAAGCGUCUGGAAAGGCGCGCGAUACAGGGUGACAGCCCCGUACACAAAAAUGCACAUACUGUGAGCUCGAUGAGUAGGGCGGGACACGUGGUAUCCUGUCUGAAUAUGGGGGGACCAUCCUCCAAGGCUAAAUACUCCUGACUGACCGAUAGUGAACCAGUACCGUGAGGGAAAGGCGAAAAGAACCCCGGCGAGGGGAGUGAAAAAGAACCUGAAACCGUGUACGUACAAGCAGUGGGAGCCUCUUAAUGGGGUGACUGCGUACCUUUUGUAUAAUGGGUCAGCGACUUAUAUUCUGUAGCAAGGUUAACCGAAUAGGGGAGCCGAAGGGAAACCGAGUCUUAACUGGGCGUUAAGUUGCAGGGUAUAGACCCGAAACCCGGUGAUCUAGCCAUGGGCAGGUUGAAGGUUGGGUAACACUAACUGGAGGACCGAACCGACUAAUGUUGAAAAAUUAGCGGAUGACUUGUGGCUGGGGGUGAAAGGCCAAUCAAACCGGGAGAUAGCUGGUUCUCCCCGAAAGCUAUUUAGGUAGCGCCUCGUGAAUUCAUCUCCGGGGGUAGAGCACUGUUUCGGCAAGGGGUCAUCCCGACUUACCAACCCGAUGCAAACUGCGAAUACCGGAGAAUGUUAUCACGGGAGACACACGGCGGGUGCUAACGUCCGUCGUGAAGAGGGAAACAACCCAGACCGCCAGCUAAGGUCCCAAAGUCAUGGUUAAGUGGGAAACGAUGUGGGAAGGCCCAGACAGCCAGGAUGUUGGCUUAGAAGCAGCCAUCAUUUAAAGAAAGCGUAAUAGCUCACUGGUCGAGUCGGCCUGCGCGGAAGAUGUAACGGGGCUAAACCAUGCACCGAAGCUGCGGCAGCGACACUAUGUGUUGUUGGGUAGGGGAGCGUUCUGUAAGCCUGUGAAGGUGUACUGUGAGGUAUGCUGGAGGUAUCAGAAGUGCGAAUGCUGACAUAAGUAACGAUAAAGCGGGUGAAAAGCCCGCUCGCCGGAAGACCAAGGGUUCCUGUCCAACGUUAAUCGGGGCAGGGUGAGUCGACCCCUAAGGCGAGGCCGAAAGGCGUAGUCGAUGGGAAACAGGUUAAUAUUCCUGUACUUGGUGUUACUGCGAAGGGGGGACGGAGAAGGCUAUGUUGGCCGGGCGACGGUUGUCCCGGUUUAAGCGUGUAGGCUGGUUUUCCAGGCAAAUCCGGAAAAUCAAGGCUGAGGCGUGAUGACGAGGCACUACGGUGCUGAAGCGACAAAUGCCCUGCUUCCAGGAAAAGCCUCUAAGCAUCAGGUAACAUCAAAUCGUACCCCAAACCGACACAGGUGGUCAGGUAGAGAAUACCAAGGCGCUUGAGAGAACUCGGGUGAAGGAACUAGGCAAAAUGGUGCCGUAACUUCGGGAGAAGGCACGCUGAUAUGUAGGUGAAGCGACUUGCUCGUGGAGCUGAAAUCAGUCGAAGAUACCAGCUGGCUGCAACUGUUUAUUAAAACACAGCACUGUGCAAACACGAAAGUGGACGUAUACGGUGUGACGCCUGCCCGGUGCCGGAAGGUUAAUUGAUGGGGUUAGCGGUAACGCGAAGCUCUUGAUCGAAGCCCCGGUAAACGGCGGCCGUAACUAUAACGGUCCUAAGGUAGCGAAAUUCCUUGUCGGGUAAGUUCCGACCUGCACGAAUGGCGUAAUGAUGGCGAGGCUGUCUCCACCCGAGACUCAGUGAAAUUGAACUCGCUGUGAAGAUGCAGUGUACCCGCGGCAAGACGGAAAGACCCCGUGAACCUUUACUAUAGCUUGACACUGAACAUUGAGCCUUGAUGUGUAGGAUAGGUGGGAGGCUUUGAAGUGUGGACGCCAGUCUGCAUGGAGCCGACCUUGAAAUACCACCCUUUAAUGUUUGAUGUUCUAACGUGGGCCCCUUACCGGGGUUGCGGACAGUGUCUGGUGGGUAGUUUGACUGGGGCGGUCUCCUCCUAAAGAGUAACGGAGGAGCACGAAGGUUGGCUAAUCCUGGUCGGACAUCAGGAGGUUAGUGCAAUGGCAUAAGCCAGCUUGACUGCGAGCGUGACGGCGCGAGCAGGUGCGAAAGCAGGUCAUAGUGAUCCGGUGGUUCUGAAUGGAAGGGCCAUCGCUCAACGGAUAAAAGGUACUCCGGGGAUAACAGGCUGAUACCGCCCAAGAGUUCAUAUCGACGGCGGUGUUUGGCACCUCGAUGUCGGCUCAUCACAUCCUGGGGCUGAAGUAGGUCCCAAGGGGUAUGGCUGUUCGCCAUUUAAAGUGGUACGCGAGCUGGGUUUAGAACGUCGUGAGACAGUUCGGUCCCUAUCUGCCGUGGGCGCUGGAGAACUGAGGGGGCUGCUCCUAGUACGAGAGGACCGGAGUGGACGCAUCACUGGUGUUCGGGUUGUCAUGCCAAUGGCACUGCCCGGUAGCUAAAUGCGGAAGAGAUAAGUGCUGAAAGCAUCUAAGCACGAAACUUGCCCCGAGAUGAGUUCUCCCUGACUCCUUGAGAGUCCUGAAGGAACGUUGAAGACGACGACGUUGAUAGGCCGGGUGUGUAAGCGCAGCGAUGCGUUGAGCUAACCGGUACUAAUGAACCGUGAGGCUUAACCU
rnacentral:rRNA from 1 species